UCCACACAAUCCAUGGAUUAAACUCAAUUAUUCAUUUACUCCACUUCUCCCUCCACCAAUCUUCAAUUGGUGGGAUUGGUUUGGAUUUGUCUAUACCAGGGAGUUCCCAGGGUUACCCAGUAUCCACAUGGGAUGAGACUUUAGUGACGGCUUUACAUUUCUCAACAAACAACAAGAUGUUCAGCUGCACUAGAUGGUCAAGAAGACAAAGUUUGAAAUAUCCAAGAAAUGGUUGAUUCCUGGCAAGGUUUACUGUUUCGGAUGGAUACUGUAGGUUCUUAUCUAAAGGAUGGAAGAAGAUGCCAACAUAUACUUCUA